rnacentral:miRNA from 1 species
CGGGCCUGACCAGUCUCAAGAC